UACGAAGGGGGCUAGCGUUGCUCGGAAUCACUGGGCGUAAAGCGCACGUAGGCGGCUUUUUAAGUCAGGGGUGAAAUCCUGGAGCUCAACUCCAGAACUGCCUUUGAUACUGGGAAGCUUGAGUCCGGGAGAGGUGAGUGGAACUCCGAGUGUAGAGGUGAAAUUCGUAGAUAUCGGGAGGAACACCAGUGGCGAAGGCGGCGAUCUGGGUCGAUACUGACGCUGAGGUGCGAAAGCGUGGGGAGCAAACAGG
rnacentral:rRNA from 1 species